GAGUUCCUGCUGUGUUCGUGAUCAAGCCGGCAAAUGGUAUGAGCCAACACCAUUUGCAUUGGAAUUCGGUCUCUGGGUACCGAGGGCAGGCCCCCCCUGCUUGGGGAAGCUCGCAUGGCAUCCAGGAGAGUUCCUACCUGCGAGAGCAGGUUCACAACCGGUCGGCACCUAGCGGCAUGGCGGGACUGC
rnacentral:other from 1 species